UUUUUUUCAGGGCCAUACGCAUGGCAUAUGGAAGUUCCCAGGCUAGGGGUUGAACUGGAGUUGAAUUGGAGAUCCGAGCUGUGUCUGCAGCCUCCAUCACAGUUCAUGGCAACGCCAGAUCCUUAGCCCACUGAGCUAGGCCAGGGAUCAAACCCUUGUCCUCAUGGGUACUAGUCUGGGUUCGUUACCACUGAGCCACAACAGGAAUUCCAAUAGUGGCAUUCUUUUGUAAAGACCAAAGCCAUACAUUUAAUCACAAAUCACUUGUAGAGGAAAUACAAUGUAAACCAUCAAAGGAAUAAAAAGGUGACUAGAACAGGACAUAGAGACAAGCAGAGAAUGAAGUGUAAAGAACAGAAAGAGAAACAAAAUACCUCAAUUGUAAGUGUCCAUCAGGAUAAACAGUCACAGAAUGAGUACAGCUGUGUAACUACCACCCAGGUUGAGGGCAAAAGUUACCAGAACUCAGCACCCCCCAAGGGCCCCUUCCCAAUUACCAAAGUACUGAUAUCCACUUACAUUCCACCUCCCAAGAAUGUCAGUCACAGCUCCUUCAUAUCCUUGCCAACAUUUAAUGUUGUCGAUCCAAAUUUUAGCCCUUCGCGUGGGCGUAUGGUGGUAUCUCCUUGUGGUUUUUCAAAAUUUUUAUUUUAUGGUAGUUGAUUUACAAUGUUGUGUUCACUUACCGUGGUUAUCAUCAGAGCCAGAUUUGAUUUUAGCAAAACCAUGGCAGGUGACAUCCUUAGGCUUGGGCAUAUGAUGGAGCAAUUUAUAUUGCCUACAAAGAUGAAGGAUGAGUUUGCUAGCAAAAAUAUGGAGCUGAAACUGAUAGUAGCAAUGGCCUGAACCUGGCCAGAACACACUCUGGGACUUGAACGCAACCUAAACCCAGAUUGGGAUUUAAACCCUUGGUUUUAAAUGAGAAUCACUCACCCAGUGUCUGGACUCACUGAGGGUCAGGUUCUUCAUGCCUCCGAGAAGAAGGAAUUCAGUGAGAGACAAAGUGAUAGGCAAGAAACAGGUUCAUUAGGAUAGGAUGCUCGCGAGACAUGGAAGCUCUGCCCGAGGAUGCUGUGUGGGCUACAGUUGUAUCAUCCAAGGGGAGUAGGGGCUGGAAAGGCCCGCCUCUUCCUUUCUGGGAGUAGUAGCUCCUCCUUGGGAUCGGGUAAGGUGUGUAUUCAAAUCAGCUGAAGGGUGGUCCUCAAACUCCUGCCCUGGGUCUGAAUCUGAGUGCAGGCCUCAUCCCAUCUCCCAGUCAAUGACCUGAGGCAAUUCUCGCACCUCCACCAGUCAAGCAAGCCUGCCUUGUGCUGAUGGCUUUCUUGAGCAGUUGUUAAUUUACAGUGAUCUCCCAAGGUCCCCUAUGUUUACCCCUUUAUCUAUGAUCCUUUAUGGGGACCUCUCAAUGACCUGUGCCUACUCCAUCCCUAUCAGAGCUAUGGCAAGAAAAGAGGCUGCUCCUCCUGCUAAGGGUGUCUGGGAGAGGGCUGGGAAUGGGGUCCUGUCCUGGCUCAAGGGCUCCCAAGUGCAGUACAGGGUCUCCCCCUUCCCACAACCUCUUCACUGUCCUGCCCCCGCCCCCCCCAACCCUGCCUCCAGACUGUGUUCAGCAAGGUCACAGCAAGCUCCUGCCCAAGGCAGGCACCAGGUUCCCCAGACACCUGUUGAAGCCAGUGGACCAAAACUCUCCAGUGUUUUUCUGACUGUUAAGUCCUGCCUUCUUGCUAUUUAUUAUGCUGGAUAGGAAACCUAUGCAAAUGCUUUAUUUUGGAAAAAUGCCUGGGAUGAUUAAAAAAAAAAACAAAAAAACCCCAGACCUCCCCAGAGCUGGAGGCAGCUGAUGCUCCCUGCAGGAGCCCUGGUGAGAU
rnacentral:lncRNA from 1 species